rnacentral:tRNA from 1 species
AGGUGGCUCAGUGGAUAGAGUACUGGACUGAAAAUCAGGCAGACCCAGGUUCAAAUCUGGCUU